CUACUCUCAACCCUGCCCGAGAGUGAUUUGGUCGUGAGGACAUACAAGCUGAAGAGAUGCUCUAAUGGCUAUUUCCUCUGACCAGACAUCACAGUCAUCAUCUCCAACAUUCUUCAAGUCCAUGUGGUAAAGUUAAGUGCAGGCAUGGAAGCUGCCCCUGAGCAGGGUUUUGUUUUUACGAUACAAUGAUGUGUUUCCAGUGCCUAGAGGUGUGUCUGACCC